rnacentral:rRNA from 1 species
UACAGAGGGUGCAAGCGUUAAUCGGAAUUACUGGGCGUAAAGCGUGCGUAGACGGUUAUGUAAGUCAGAUGUGAAAGCCCCGGGCUCAACCUGGGAAUUGCAUUUGAGACUGCAUAGCUAGGGUGCGGAAGAGGGAAGCGGAAUUUCCGGUGUAGCGGUGAAAUGCGUAGAUAUGACAUAGAACACCAAUUGCGAAGGCAGCUGGCUACACGAAUAUUGACACUGAUGCACGAAAGCGUGGGGAUCAAACAGG